AUCGCUUAAUGGCCGGGUACUCGACAUUAACAGUUAAUAGAAAGACUCGAACCAUGUGUAAGCAUAUGGUCUACGAACUAUAUUUGGGGCAAAAUAAUUGCGGUGUUUUGAGCUUUCUGACUGCUGUUGUUCGCUUACGGAAAACGUAACAGGUAAGUAAUCAAAUUCAGGUAAUCUGAGCGGCGUCCAAGCAUUAAGUCCAGGCCCAGGAAUCUUCUGUGCAAACAUAUGUGAAAUGAGAAACUUAAAAUAGUGACAGUUUAAGAAAAAGAUAUUCAACAUGUUUGUAUAAAUAUACCAUAUGUUUACCUCUC
rnacentral:lncRNA from 1 species